UACGUAGGGUGCAGGCGUUAAUCGGAAUUACUGGGCGUAAAGCGUGCGCAGGCGGUUUCUUAAGUCAGAUGUGAAAGCCCCGGGCUUAACCUGGGAAUGGCCAUGGAAACUGGCGAGCUGGAGUGUGGCAGAGGGGGGUGGAAUUCCGCGUGUAGCAGUGAAAUGCGUAGAGAUGCGGAGGAACACCGAUGGCGAAGGCAGCCCCCUGGGUUGACACUGACGCUCAGGCACGAAAGCGUGGGGAGCAAACAGG
rnacentral:rRNA from 1 species